CGGACAUCGAUUAACGAGCCUGGAGGCAGCAGUCAGGAAAGAGGCGGAGCGACUCGAGGAGCAAACUCUGUGCGCUCCCGCAAAUACUACUGGAUUUAUCCUGCUACCAAUAAAGGGUUGUAAGCGCAGGUGCUGGCAGACGGCGUAGUUAUUGUGUUCGCGCGCACGCUGGAUUAUUAAUAAGAGACGACGGAGCCCAGUUCUCUGGGAAUAGAGGUGCGUGUGUAGGGUUGAGACGUUUGUUGCUGUGUGGAGGGACGCAGGGCGGCCAUUUUGGAAGUGGAGCGAAGUGUGUUGUUGAGCUAGCCUCAUAGCUUAGCCACUUGCGGCGGCGCCGCCGGGCUUCGCGCUGGCGCUCAGCCUCGUAUCCCGCUUGAAACGGCCACGCUUCCCGGCCCGCUUGCGGUUUUUCUGUUCGCCAAGUGACAUUUUCGCGUGUUGGUCGGAGAGCUAAACGCCUCGCCCGCAAUGUGAAUGACACGUUAUUAUAAGAGGGGAGGCUCGGCCGACUCACUUCUGAGCUGCGGCGACACUCAGGUCGCUACACGGACCGCUGAGCCCAUGUUCUACGGUCUAGACUCGGAAAGCGCAUGCGCGUCUACAGUGAGCCGUACAAUCAAUGAAAAAGUGAAUGUUAUUGUCUGUUACUAGUUUGGAAGAAAGAGAAACACAACAAGAAAAAGAACAAACGCGCUUGUUACAUUGUUCACAAUAGAAUAGUUAAUACUAGUCGGGUUUUUUUUUUUUUUUUUUUAAAUUUGCUUUAGUGAAGUCUAGUGAUUUUCCCCCCCCAGCACUUGGGUAUUAUUAUAGAAUACUGUACAUUGACAUGUAUGGGACAGCUGGUAGGGUAAUGGUUAGAGCUAUUGCCUUUAGACCUGAAGGUCAUAAGUUUGAGCUUUACCUCUAGCUGUAGUACUCUUGAGCAAGGUACUUACCCUAAAUUGCUCCAACAAAAUUACCCAGCUGUAUAAAUGGGUAAAUGACUGCAACCUCAACCCUGUAAGCUGCUUUGGAGAAAAGCAUCAGCUAAAUGAAUGAAUGAAUGAAUGUAAAUGCAUUGUUUUUGCUGAUGCUUUCCUCCCAAGUGACUUACAAUGUAAAUCUACAGUUAAUUACCCAUUUAUAUAGCUGGGUAAUUCUACUGGAGCAAUUCAGGGUACGUAUGUUGUGCAAGGGUACUAAGGGUGGAAGUGAGAUUUGAACUUGUAACCUUUGGGUUACAAAGGCUGAUGCUCUAACCACUGUACUACCAGCUGUCCACAGCCAAGCCAGUACAGAGUAGUCUUUUUUUUUUUUUUUUUUUUUUUUUUUUUUUUUUUUUUUUUUUUUUGGGCGCUCGCUCUUCCCAGUACCAGGCGAGUCGUUUGUGCACCCGGCGUAUUAGAAAGAAAGGGGGACUGUGCAGUUGCCCUAAAUGCUGCCAGGCCCUGUUGCUGUAGUUGUGCACUAGUGUGCGUAGCGUAUGUGUUUUGGAUAAGGAUGUAAUGCAGUACUCUACACUUGGAGAAGCUGCUGUACAAAGCAGAUUGCACCUUGACUCUACCCAUCUAGUGGAUAAAGCCAAAGGCAGCCUGUGGAGAGCACUCAGACUUCCUCUCACAUACAUGGGUUAAAAAAAAAAAAAAAAAACUUUACUAAUCCAAAAGGAGUUUCCAUUGUUACUGACCAAAGACAUACAUAUAUUGAUUUAGUAGAUGCUGCAAAGCAACGUACAUAUUACUGGAUUGAAUAAAUAAAUGUCAGACCAAGACA
rnacentral:lncRNA from 1 species